AAUCUGAUAACAUCAAAGCAUGAGCAGUCCUCCUCCCUUUGUUUCCCUGCUGCUCUGGCCUGUUUGCACGUCACGUGUUUGCGUAGCGACUGAAAAGAAGGAAGAACGCACAGACGGGCCACAUGAAGCCACAGCCUCCAACUGACAUCACAUCAUGUCAUGCUGUGUCACUGUGAAGACCUUCAGAUUAUUUAUCACUGACAGUAUCUGCAGAUGGUUCAACUGAUUCUGCCGAGCUGAUCAUGGAUUACUCUCAGCCCUUCUCCGUCUUGAAUCAGAGGCUGCGACCUCGAUACCUCAGCAUCGCACAGCUCGUCUCCCCUCUACAAGAAGUGGAUGAAACACAGGUGGGCUCUCUCAGGAGUAAAACUACAUCCCAGCGACCAACAGUUAUGCCAGCAGAGAUGGAUCCAAAAGACUCUGUGACUAAAACAGAACCAGGAGAUCCAGAAGAAGCUGGAAAUAAAGAGGAAUUGGUUUCUGAUGGCCUACAAGAAGAAAUCUUUGCUGCUCUGCCGGGCUUUCCCACCUCAAGCCUUCUCACUGAGAUGAAUUUGACAGAUGUUGGUGAAGGGGAGAGCGCCGACGACGACAGCGGCACCUCACAGAAAGGCAGUUCAGGUGAGCAGACUUCAGACGGGACAAGAGACUCUACAGGAGCUUUGACUGGUGAAGAUGGGAGCCCUUUCCAGAGGGGCUUCUUCGACGGGACCUUACCAGACCUGCUAAAAAAUGGCAAGCCGCUUGGCAGACGCAGGACACUGGGACAUGUCUCUGAAACGCUUAAAGAAGUACGCAGAGAAGUGGAGCUGUCUCGGAGGAGAAGCAUCAAGCUGAAGGCCCAGGUGGACAAACUACAGGAGAGAAGAGAUGGACCGGGCUGGAGUCAGCACAGAGAGAGGGUCACAGAGGAGGUUCUGUCCAUUCUGAGGCUGCUGCACCCGCUGACGGAGCCGGAGUCCAGCCAACCGGAGCCGUGUGAAGGGGAAAACUGCCUGGACGCUGCUCUGGCACAGCUGCAGAAUGUGGCCCGCAAACUGGCAAUCAGCCAAACCAAACAGGAUAUAAAACCUGGAAAAAAGGGAGAAGAGGAGAGUGCUAUUCUGCAGCAGGCCCUGUGGGACAGAGAUGAAGCCAUAGAGAAGAAGAAAGCGAUGGAGGCCGAGCUGCUUCGGAGUAAGACGGAGCUGAUGGCACUGAACAACCAGCUGCUGGAGGCUGUGCAGAAACGUCUGGAGCUGUCGCUGGAGGUCGAGGCCUGGAAGGAGGACGUUCAGCGGAUCCUCCAGCAGCAGCUACAGAAUCAGCAGCAGGCAGAACAGGCUCAGAAGAAGACUUCUCGUCUGGGCAUCCUCAGGAGAAACAACAAACCGCCCAUCCAGCGGCCGUCCAACUUCCCUCUGUCCACGCCAAGCCCUCCCACUACCAACACGAAGCAAAUCUUCCUCUCCAAAUCUGCUGCUUCGGGUCCCAGCACGCCUCCUUCCAGCCUCAGGUGGAAGCCGAGGAGGGGCAAGAGCAGCCGUCAAGUAGACCAGGAUUCAGAGUUCGGUCGGGAAGAUGACGGCUUCCGGAACGUAUCACUUGAUUAAAACAGUGCUGACACUGAGUGCACUCUUACAUCUACUUAAAGUCGUUCUUCAGUCCUUACUGUCCCUUACUGAAUCAUGUUUAACACUCAAAGGUUGUUUUUACAUUUAUCUGCUGAAGGGUGAAGCUUCACUUAAAAUCUGAGCUUAACGUGCACGUGAGCAGCAUUUUGUGACGACACAACUAGUUUGGACAAGAGCCAUGCACUAAUAUGUAGCCGGCGAUGUGGAAAUGCUCCAGUACACAAACAUAGAGGAGGAACUUUUCAUCGGAUUAGGAGAAUUCUAGUGUCCGGCAGUUACACUUGUACAAUAAACUAUAUUUGCAUAUUCAUAGAUUCUGGAUGUCUCAGUGAGGAAGGAGGCAAAGAUGCCAUUUUAAUGAAGUAACUGAACUUCUUUUGUUGAAAAAAAACAUAUCAUGCACAAAUUAUUAUUAUAACAGAGUAUUUUUUAUGUUUUAUAUUUUCUUGGGAAACAUGCUUUAGAUGUAUGUACGAAAUAUAACGGAUUGUGAAUGUGCCAAGUAAAUAUUGAAAACUAACACUUAAAUGCCUUACACUUACUGACCUAAUAUUUGUUACUUCUUGUAAAUAAAUGAAAUUAUUAUACAAACUCUUUUAAAUCUCUAAGUCAGACUGUCAUUGAUUUUCUGACAUUCACAUCACCAUAAAAGACAGAAAAAUAAAUUUUGUUGCAUUGAC
ensembl:lncRNA